rnacentral:rRNA from 1 species
UACGAAGGGGGCUAGCGUUGCUCGGAAUCACUGGGCGUAAAGGGUGCGUAGGCGGGUUUUUAAGUCAGAGGUGAAAUCCUGGAGCUCAACUCCAGAACUGCCUUUGAUACUGAAAGUCUUGAGUACGGGAGAGGUGAGUGGAACUGCGAGUGUAGAGGUGAAAUUCGUAGAUAUUCGCAAGAACACCGGUGGCGAAGGCGGCUCACUGGCCCGUAACUGACGCUGAGGCACGAAAGCGUGGGGAGCAAACAGG